GAGGAUGAGGAAGAAGAGGUUGGAGAAGAAGAAGGCUUAAGCCUUUAUCUGCUUGCAACCAUGGUCAGAAUCGCCAGAGAAGUGUUUCAAGAAUGAGACCCCCACAUGCUUUGUUUGUUGCAGUUUGCCAACGAUAUUGAUGGGAAGUAUGGCAGUUUAUAAAAACCUUCUUGCACAGGUGUAGAAGCAGCGCCAGCAACUUCCCUUAGGCAUGUUACCAGAUAACUAGCAACCCUUUAUUGCUCAGUGACUGUUUUUUUGUCAAUAUCUUUAUGUCUCCAAAGUGUUCUCUGUCAAUUGACUGUCUGUUGUCGUACUAGAGCGGCUCCAACUACCGGAGACAAAUUGUGUUUUUUGGACAUACUUGGCAAAUAAAGAUGAUUCUGAUAAAGGGUUGCCUUCAGAAGUAAUGCUCUUCUUCGCUGAGCAGUACAGUAUCAUCAUCAUCACCUUCAACAUCAACGCACCUUCGUCGGCUGCGCACCUGUCACCAAUCAGCCCUCGUUACCACCUACAUUUAAGCCUGCCUGAUCCUGAUACCUUGCCAGAGGAUUGAAGCGUCCAAACGUGUAUCCUCCAUGUCCUUCCCCAAGUGGAUCUCUGCCACCUCACCGUCAAGCCAGCCACCCGUGCUCGUCACUGCCUGCCACGUAUUCUCUGCCUCAACAACCUGCCAGCGCAUCUCAAGGAACAUCUACAUUUCUCUUUUCAAUAAACUGUUCAUCACAAGCUUUCAGCCUCUGUCUUCUCUUGGAUCCAGUCUCCAUCCAAUUCAUGACAGAAUACUCUGGCCAAAAAUGGACCCAGCAAACCCGGAGGCGCUGAAACACGCUAUCACCCUCCAAGGCGCCCACAUAAGGCGACAAGAUAAAACUCUUCAGGAAAUCAUGGAAUCUUUACACUCCCUUAAGCAACAAGUAUCCCUCCUGUCUUCGAAAAUGCAAUCCAACCUUCUUCCCGUAAGUACUCCUUCCGAGCCUGCAGCUUCCCAGCCACUCCACCUCCCGUACAAAGAACCUCAUGUGCCUCCGCCCAAGCCCUAUUCUGAGGACCGAGGUACAUGGAGCCAGUUUUUACCUAAUUGCUCACUAGUUUGCAACCUUCAACCGUACAGUUAUCCCACUGAACAAUCCAAGGUCACAUUUGUCACGAACCUCCUCCACGGCAAAGCAGUCUAAUGGUCCACCACGUUAUGGCACAACUCCUCUCCGGUACUCCAGUCAGUCGAUUAUUUUUCUGCCGAACUAAAAAAGGUAUCACCCCAUUCAGGGCAGAGAAGCCACCCGCCGCCUCCUUAUGCUCUCUCAGGGCGCUAGUGCCGUAGCUGCAUAUGCGAUUGAAUUUAGGAUACUUGCGGGUGAAUGUGAUUGGUAUGACGCUGCGCUUAGGGUGAUUUUUCUAAACGGACUUUCUGAGCAACUCAAACAUGUGCUCGCUGCCUGGGACGAGCCCUCCUCUCUCCAGGAUCUUAUAGCACUCGCCAUCCGCAAAGAUAACAGACCGCGAGAGAGAGCACAGGAGAGGGGAGUCCGAGCACAUAAGAUCACUCCCACCGUGAGCACCGCGCUGUCAGCAUCUCACCGGCCUUCUUGCACCACCUACUGCCCCUUCGUCACCCCCUACACCUAAUGAGCCCAUUCAAAUUGGUAACACCCGAAUAGACACCAGGAACGUCAGCGUGGUGUCAUCCAGGGGCUGUGCAUUUAUUACGGUAAAUCAGGUAAUUUCAUCAUCACUUGCGAUGAAAAGAGCCGCCACGAGCCGAGAGCGCCAUGGUGAACCAAACCACUAUUUCUUCUGGCUCUCCGUGCAGAUGAUAAUUGUAUUCACAAAGGUAUAGCACAUCAGCUCCAACUCCCUCUAUUGUUCUAUUAGUCAUUUCAAACUGCUCUAAUUGCUAGAAGACUCUCCAGAUUUUUGCACAGUUUAAAAAAAAAAAAAAAAACAAUUGUACUGGCAUUACCAUAUUACUGGAAACCUUUUAUUGCUCAGUGGACUGUGUUUUGAAUGUCUUUAUGUCUCAGAAGUAUUCUCUGUCAAUUGACUGUAUG